CCCUUAGAUGUCCGGGGCUGCACGCGCGCUACACUGAAGGAAUCAGCGUGCUAAAACCAUUGUCGAAAGGCAUUGGUAAACCCAUUAAAAUCCUACGUGAUUGGGAUCGGGAAUUGCAAUUAUUUCCCUUGAACGAGGAAUUCCCAGUAAGUGUGGGUCAUAAGCUCGCGUUGAUUACGUCCCUGCCCUUUGUACACACCGCCCGUCGCUGCCCGGGACUGAGCCGUUUCGAGAAAAGCGGGGACUGCUGCUGUCGGGGCUUUCGGGCCUUGGCUUCGGUGGAAACCGUUUUAAUCGCAGUGGCUUGAACCGGGCAAAAGUCGUAACA
rnacentral:rRNA from 1 species